rnacentral:tRNA from 1 species
GUGGGUGUAGCUCAGUUGGUAGAGCACAGGAUUGUGGCUCCUGUUGUCGUGGGUUCGAUUCCCAUCAUCCACCCCA